GCAUUCGUUGUGGGCCACCCCCAGCCAUCGCCAAUGGAGAUUUCAUUAGCACCGACAGAGAAUACUUUCAAUACGGAACAGUGGUGACCUAUCACUGCAAUCUUGGAGAGAGAAGGCAGAAGCUGUUUGACCUCGUGGGUGAGCCGUCAAUAUAUUGCACCAGUGAAGACAAUCAAGUUGGCAUCUGGAGUGGCCCUCCCCCUCAGUGCAUUACACCUAAUAAAUGCACGCCUCCAGUCAUUGAAAAUGGAAUAAGGAUGUCUGAGAACAGAAGCUUAUUUUCUUUACGUGAAAGCGUGAGGUUUAGGUGUCAGCCCGGCUUUGCCAUGAAAGGACCCUCCACUGUUGAAUGCCAGGCCCAAAACAAGUGGGGGCCAGAGUUGCCCAGCUGCUCCAGGGUAUGUCAGCAACCUCCAGAAGUCCUGCAUGGUAAACAUACCCCAAGCCACAAGAACAACUUUUCCUCUGGGCAGGAAGUGUUCUACAGCUGUGAGCCUGGCUAUGAUCUCAGAGGGGCUGCUUCUCUGCACUGUAUGCCCCAGGGAGACUGGAGCCCGGAAGCUCCCAGAUGUGCAGUGAAAUCAUGUGCUGACUUCCUGGACCAACUUCCUAAUGGACAUGUGCUCUUUCCACUUAAUUUCCACCUUGGGGCAAAAGUGUCCUUCAUUUGUGAUGAGGGGUUCCAGUUAAAGGGAAGCUCAGCCAGUUACUGUAUCUUGGUUGGAACGAAAAGCCUUUGGAAUAACAGUGUUCCUGUGUGUGAACAAAUCUUUUGUCCAAAUCCGCUGGCUAUCCUUAAUGGGAGGCACACAGGAACUUCUCUGGGAGGCAUUUCCUGUGGAAAAGAAAUAUCUUGCACAUGUGACCCCCACCCAGACAGAGGGAUGACUUUCAAUCUCUUUAGGGAGAGCACCAUCCACUGCACAAGUGACAGUCAAGGGAAUGAGGUUUGGAGCAUCCCUGACCCUCACCGUGAACUUUCUGGUCCUGCUGGUCACCCCUAACAGUUUCCAUUUACAAAGCCUACAAUCCUGACUGAUGAGUCUGAGUUUCCAGUUGGGACAUCUUUGAAUUAUGAAUGCUUCCUUGGGUAUUUUGAAAAUAUAUUCUCUAUCACCUGCUUAGAAAACUUGGUCUCGUCAAGUGCCAAGAUAUUUAGAGAUAUGAGAAAAUCAUGUGGAAAACCUCCAGAACCCUUCAAUGGCAUAGUGCAUAUAAGCACAGAUACCCGGUUUGGAUCAACAGUUAAUUAUUCAUGUAAUAAAGGGUAUCGACUCAUUGGUUCCCCUUCUGCUACUUGUCUCCUCUCAGGCAUUGAUGUCACUUGGAAUAAGAAGGCACCUAUUUGUGAGAAAGUAAAAUGUAGCCUCUCACAGAUUAUGAAUGGAAUCAAGAAGGAACUGAAAAUAAGAAAAGUAUAUCACUCUGGAGAUAAUGUAACUUUGGAGUGUGAAGAUGGGUAUACUCUGGAAGGCAGUCCCUGGAGUCAGUGCCAGGAAGAUGACCUGUGGGACCCUCCUCUGGCCAUAUGUACCUCUCGCACGAGUGAUGAGCUCAUAGCUGAGGCGGUGAGCCAGCCAUUCCUGCAAGCCGCCGCGACUCUCCUUCAGGUCUGCAGACAGAGGUGUCAGAGACAGUCCGGGUCCAAGGAGGAGGCGCAAAGCUCCCAGCCCACCGGGAGGGUUAGCCCAGCGCAAGGGCCUCGCCCCGCCUCUCCAGGCCUAAGGGCCGCCCCGGGCGCCGAGGCCCAGCCUUGCAGCCCGCCCAUUGGCCCCGCAAGGCCCUCUCCUUCUCUCCUGCAGCGUUCUAGGCCACGCCCAUCUGCGUGA